rnacentral:misc_RNA from 1 species
AGUUUCAGAGAAGAAGAUUUUUGACCCUCAAGAUAAAUUCCUUCUGUUAUGGAACAAACUGUUUGUUGUAUCAUGUAUUCUAGCCGUGUCUGUGGACCCACUGUUUUUCUACCUUCCAGUUUUUGAUAACAAGUCAAAUUGCCUUCAGAUCGAUAGGAAGCUAGCUGUCAUAGCCACUACCCUACGUACAGUGAUUGAUGCUUUCUAUCUUAUUCACAUG